rnacentral:lncRNA from 1 species
CGGGCGAGAGGCGGCCGCUCCGCCGGGCAGCGCGGGCGGGGGGACCGCGGUGACGGAAAGCAGCAGCUGAAGGCGACGGCAGCGGCUGGGUUGACUUCCUCCCCCCGGUCGGAGGAAGAUGGAGCUCGGUUAGCAAGGGCUUGCGGGAGGUGCAGCGGGAGCAGGACAGUGAUACUCCAGAGCUUCAAAAUCGGAAGUAAAAUCAGCUGGACAGUUGCCUGCUGCUUUCAUAAAUAGGGAGAAAGCGGCAUUACUGGUGUGGAUGCCUGCCAUGUUUGCUUCACCAGAAUGAGAUAGGGCAUGCAGGAGAGAAGGGAUAUUUCUGCAAGUAGAAGCUGCCAUGAUUUCUCAGGGGACACAAUUUUGCUUAUUUGUACCUUCUACUGUGGCAAAAAUGGAUUAUUUUCCUCACCAAAAACCAGCGGUAUAAUGCGCAUCUGACACAUGCCUCAAGGAAAUCUUAUUUAAAGUCUGUUGAAAGAGUCAGAAUCAUGGAAAAAGAGGCAAGACCAAGGAGGGUGCUAGAUAUCAAAAACCAAAGGAAAAAGAUGACAAUGUCACAAGCUGUAUUGCAUCUUCCCAUUAAA